UUACUUGUAGUAUAAAAAAUACAUUAACCUUUCAAGUUAAAAUUGUGACAUCACUAAGUACU
rnacentral:tRNA from 1 species